rnacentral:lncRNA from 1 species
GACAAAAUGUGGUGCCAAGCAGUGCCCCAAUAAUACCAGCUCUGCCCCUGCUCCGAGGAUGGUGUGUCUUCCCCACCAGAGUGAUCUAGGACUCCUAGAGCUUGCACACAAUCUACAGCCAGACCUCAUGGCCUUGACCAGGUGACAGCUUCAAAAGUGUUUCAGGUGUAGCUGAGCAGACCCACUUCCAGGGCUGAGCGGAAGACUCGGCCAACCCCCUGCAGUCCACAGAGGGCUGCUGAGCAGGAGCACAGGUCUCAGCCACACCAACUAGAGGCCAUGAAACAACUCCAAGAACUCCAUGCUGUUAGACAAGAGGCUUUCUCCUUCCGAGGACACCAGCCUUAGAAAUAUGGUUAGAGACACUAAAUUCUCUGCCCCAGGAUAAAGUUGGAAGUGAGGGCAAAAGUGGAGCAGGAGAUAAGAGAGCAAGAGGAAUCAACACUUUUUCCCUCGGGCUUCUUUUAAACACCUCAACCUGCAAACUCUUAUCUCAAAAGGAGACAAUCAAGCCCAUGGAAAAAAGCCAGUCAUUGGACUAUCAGCUUGGGACAAGGGAAAGACGAGAUGGGACUUUUGGACUUCCUUGAGACAGAGGCCACACCAGAGAGUGUUGAGCUAAUCACUGGUCAGAAUUGGAGAGCUCACUCUAAGGCCCACUGGCCAGAAUCUAAAUUCCGGGGCACUGACUUGACAAGAUAACUAAAUUUGCCUUUCCUAAAAUUGACUGGCAGCAAACAGAUCCCAAAGCUACCAAGUUUUUAAGAGAAUUGAGUUUUCAGAGACUCCCCAGGCUGUUGAACAAAGGUCUACACAUAUAUUGUUGUGCAGCUUUUCUUUUUUCAAUUAGCAAUGCAUCUUGGGACGAGGUUCAUACCAGUGCCUACUGGCUUGACCUUCUGUCUUUAACAUCUACAAGUGAUAUUUCAUUAUAUAGAGUUUUAUAAUUUCUUUAUCAAGUCCACUAUUGCUGACCACCGACUGCUAUCCAAUUUAGAGAUACCAUACAGAAUGCUGCACUGAAUAUCCUUGACUGUACUUGUGAAAAUAAGUUUUUCUUUAAAACUCAAAGGUGGUACUAUGGAGAGGGUUACUAUAUCCCAGCCGACAACUCCUUGAACCUAACAAGCAUUGGUUCAAUAAAUGAAUUGAUGGCUAUCUUUAUCAACCAUGAGUUUUGUGCUUCAUUCCCAGAUCAGAGUCUCAGAAAUAUCCUCCAUAAUGCUUCAACCAAAGACCACCGAAAUGAAGAGCAAAGUGCCCCAUGGACCAUGAACUUAAGACCUGACCUUUCCUGAUGCUCAAGCAGCCCACUAGCACAGAGUCUCCACACUCUAAUUCUCUUUUUCUUCCUGGUUGGUUUUGUCAAAGCUCCAUGGUUUCCUAAUAUGCCAGCAGCAUGUUUGUUUUUCAUUUGCUUCUGGUUUAUAAAGCCACAGAUGUGGGUGGGUGGCAGGAACUCAGCACUUUGCUUCCUUAGCGAUAAGUACCACCAUCAACUGCACACAUAUGGCUCCUAUUAAAAUAAAUGGAAGGCACGUGUCUAAUUUGGAGGGAAAAAUUGGCAAAACUGAAACAGCUGUAGCUAUUGACCCUUUGUUUUGAAUGGGUGCUACGUGAGGUGAAUAGUUCAGUCCCUUUUUCA